rnacentral:lncRNA from 1 species
CCCACUCCCACCUCAAAUCCAAAAUCUACUCGACCAUCGCCACCUCCACUCCCACAACCAUCUACUACUGCUCACCAUCAUCUACCCCAUCACAAUAGCCACCCAACAAGCUCCAUCACCCAAACCCAAAAAUGCAAAUCAUUUAGAUCUAUAUCAUCAAUCUCCCUCAUUACCACCUUACUGUACACAAAAGAAACACACACUCUUCAGAAAAGAUAUAUGCCUCCUACAGACAUUGAUUCGGAUCUCAAAGUAAAUUUUUUUGUCUCUAGUUGAAGAUCUCAUUUCAACAUUUUAACUAUUUUACUAAGUUUUGCUUGUUUAUGGAUGUGCGCGCUUUUUUUUUUUUUUUUUUUGGGUUUGCAGAGAUCAUCGACUAACAUGAAUAAUUUGGGCAUGAGGUAAAAUUGUAGUAUUCAAAAAAUUGUUUAGUUUUAAUCUACUUGUUUUUGUAUUAUGAGACUCAAACCCUGGUUAUGUGCUUCCAAAAUUUUGAAAUUGAAGAAGUCGUGUUUUCUGUAAAUACAACUCUAUUAGUUUGGUACUUUUAAUUGGAUGGUGACACGUAGUUUAUCUUGGGCUAUUGGUUUUGACUUUGGAAUCUUCUAUUAUUGGUGUCGUUUCACCCGGCAUCCCUCACUUACUAUCCUAAUGCGUCUGACUCUUUGGUUCAUGUAAGAGAAAAAUCCUCUCGUUUGGCUAGGGUUUCGUUUGUAUGAUUCUUUGGCUCAAAUCUCUGAUCUGAGGCUUGAAACUUGUAAAUUUGAGUGAUUUAGUUAGAUAUUCUGAGUGAUUAUCUAUUAGAACCGUAUAUUAUCUUGAAUCGUGAAGUUUUGAGUAUUGUGCAGUGAAGAUUCUUUGUGAUUCCUCGAAACUGUUAGGUUAUUUUUGAGAGAUAAGUGAUAUGGCUCUAUCUCUUUGUAUUUGUAAAACAUUUGUAAUCCUUCGUUGCCAUUUUUGGGCUAUUAUAGUGCAACUGAGUGUAAUCGAACUUGUUGGAUGCUCAAUGGGAGAUGUAGGCAUUGAAAGCGAUCGUCGAACCUCUGGGGCUUAGGCUGAAAGAAAUUUUAUGAUGAAUCUUUAUUUUUCUACACUAUUUAUUUUCUACCAUUUAAAUACUUUGCUUCUCAGUUUUAAUAUUGUGUGAACCUUUGCCCUACAGUGGUAUCAGAGCCACACUGAGGAGCACGAUACCUGGAUCUUGGAGAGUUUGGUGGAUCUUCAACAGAUUUGAAAUUUUUGGAACCGCUGAAAAGCAAAUUUGAAACAAUACGAGUUAUUGAACUUGCUUGGUGAGAUCUUUUCAAUUUACUGUAUAUUUCUUUUCAGAAAUCUGUGUUUCUUGAACUUUUCCUUAAUUUUUUAGUACACCAUUGAAAUCCCUUUGAGAUUAAUCUUUGUUCAGUAGCUCCUACGAGGCCCUUGGAAUAUGAGAUAAAUCAUGUACGGGCAUGUACUUUGGAGAAUUCUGUUGAAGGGAUCUGUGAAACCUUGUAUUUAAUCUCUGUGAUUGGUAUCUAUUGAUC